GAUGAACGCUGGCGGCGUGCCUAAUACAUGCAAGUCGAGCGAACGGACGAGAAGCUUGCUUCUCUGAUGUUAGCGGCGGACGGGUGAGUAACACGUGGAUAACCUACCUAUAAGACUGGGAUAACUUCGGGAAACCGGAGCUAAUACCGGAUAAUAUUUUGAACCGCAUGGUUCAAAAGUGAAAGACGGUCUUGCUGUCACUUAUAGAUGGAUCCGCGCUGCAUUAGCUAGUUGGUAAGGUAACGGCUUACCAAGGCAACGAUGCAUAGCCGACCUGAGAGGGUGAUAGGCCACACUGGAACUGAGACACGGUCCAGACUCCUACGGGACGCAGCAGUAGGGAAUCUUCCGCAAUGGGCGAAAGCCUGACGGAGCAACGCCGCGUGAGUGAUGAAGGUCUUCGGAUCGUAAAACUCUGUUAUUAGGGAAGAACAUAUGUGUAAGUAACUGUGCACAUCUUGACGGUACCUAAUCAGAAAGCCACGGCUAACUACGUG
rnacentral:rRNA from 1 species